rnacentral:tRNA from 3 species
GUCCGGGUGGCGGAAUGGUAGACGCGCUAGCUUGAGGUGCUAGUGCCCAUUUUUGAACGGGCGUACGGGUUCAACUCCCGUUCCGGACACCA